rnacentral:lncRNA from 1 species
UGGGGAAAUUGUUAUAAUUUUUCUUUCCUAUGUCUCGGUUUCUUUUUUCCCUAUGAGUUUUCCAUAAUUCAGCACUUCUCAUGGUCGGGAAAAAUUGUUGGAAUUGGUCAAUUCUCAGAUUCUGGAGACAAUUUGAAAUUUGUUGUCUCUGCCAAUGUUCCGAUUGGAGAGGUUGAAUUUCUCAUGAUUUCUUUCCAUUGAUAGCUUUCGUCCCAUGCUCUUAUCAUGAAUUAGGUUAAAUGGCAGUAUGAUUCGUGCUUCCCCAAGUAUCCGACAUGAGUAAUCCUUCCAC